rnacentral:rRNA from 1 species
GAUGAACGCUGGCGGCGUGCCUAAUACAUGCAAGUCGAGCGAACAGAUGAGGAGCUUGCUCCUCUGACGUUAGCGGCGGACGGGUGAGUAACACGUGGAUAACCUACCUAUAAGACUGGGAUAACUUCGGGAAACCGGAGCUAAUACCGGAUAAUAUAUUGAACCGCAUGGUUCAAUAGUGAAAGACGGUUUUGCUGUCACUUAUAGAUGGAUCCGCGCCGCAUUAGCUAGUUGGUAAGGUAACGGCUUACCAAGGCAACGAUGCGUAGCCGACCUGAGAGGGUGAUCGGCCACACUGGAACUGAGACACGGUCCAGACUCCUACGGGAGGCAGCAGUAGGGAAUCUUCCGCAAGGGGCGAAAGCCUGACGGAGCAACGCCGCGUGAGUGAUGAAGGUCUUCGGAUCGUAAAACUCUGUUAUUAGGGAAGAACAAAUGUGUAAGUAACUAUGCACGUCUUGACGGUACCUAAUCAGAAAGCCACGGCUAACUACGU